ACCUGCUGAAUCAGGACCAUAUAUAGUCAAAAUGAUGUGUCGACCAAAGUCUCACGGAGAACUUAAUAUACUAGGUAGGAUUAUAACACCCUAAAUUAUUGCUAUUUGUUGUGUUAUUUGAGGGGGUGGGAGGUGUAGUCAUCUUGAAUUCCCAGGCAAAUAAAGCAUUCUUUCUUGGAUCCUGUAAAAUUUAUCAUUAAUUAUUGAUAAGUGUACAUCACACCGAAAUAAAGGGCCAAUCCUGACUUUCUGAAAGGGUACCUUCUACCCCUCUUAUUUGACAUCACUGACAUUCCAUGUUAUUUUUUUACUUUAAUUGUCUGAGGGCAUUAAGCAAAUGAGAUUGUUGUAAGAUGUCAAUUGUUCUGAAGUUAACCAAUAAUCAAAUUAAAUGUAAAUUAAAAUAAGAUAUAGAUCAGUAGUUAAAUACAAAGUAGAUAUUGUAAAUAAAUUCUACCACUACAUUGAUUGUGAUAAAAUAACUCAACAAUUAAAUUAAAAAAAUUAUAAUGGUAGUCUAAACUUGUCAGGCAUUUAAAACAUUGAAAAUUUAACUAUCAAGUGGGGAGCAAUAUUGUAUUGCAAUACAUUCUUUGGUGGAAUCUGUUCUUUUCUAAUUUUCAGACAAAAUUGUCUUCCUUUUCCAAAGUUCUGUUAAAAGAUGUGUUUUUUGUGUGUCCUCAUCAAGAAUGAAGUCCUUAUUUCAUGGUCACAAUAGCAAAUUUAGAAGAAAGCAAGACAUUUGUCUUCCUAAUUGAAUGCUAUAACAAUAAAAAAAAACUGAGAUCAAACCAAUCACACGUAAAUUAUAUAAUUGCACAGGGAAAGUAAAAAAGGUGCCUCAAAAUUAAAGCUUGAAGAUAAAGGACUUAGUUACUUUACAGGUUUUUUUUGUGGUUAAAAUUAAGUUUUACAUUGUCAAAUUUUAUCUUGGAGAAGCAUGUAAAUUUCUUUUUGUAUUUUCAGGUUAUACAACUUUAGUGUAUGGUGUCAACAGUAACUGCCGAUUAAAAGACAUUCCUCAUUUACAUGAAACCCAAUCAAAAGUAGAAAUCAUACCUCCAUUACCCAAUGUUCAAGUCAAGUCGUCAUUUCCUCAGUCAGCCAUGUUUAUUACUGAAUCAGAUGGUGCCAAUGUUGUGACGUCUGCUUCUGCCUCUUUAUACGCAGGUCAAAGGUAAGUUUAUCACUAUCCAAUCAGAUGGUGCCAAUGUUGUGACAUCUGCUGCUGCCUCUUUAUACGCAGGUCAAAGGUAAAUAAAAAUAAAAUUGUGUUUACAAGUAUAAUUUAAACAAUAUUUUAUAAACAAGCUGUUUAAUAGUCUCUUAUGUUUUAUAAAUUCAUCUAAUAUAAAAAAAGAAAAAAAGAAGAUGUGGUGUGAGUGCCAAUGAGACAACUCUUCAUCCAAAUAACAAUUUAUAAAAGUAAACGAUUAUAGGUCAAUGUGUGGCCUUUAACACAGAGCCUUGGCUCACACCGAACAAAAAGCUAUAAAGGGCCCCAAAAAUUACUAGUGUAAAACCAUUCAAACGGGAAAACCAAUGGUCUAAUCUAUAUAAAAAACGAGAAACGAGAAAAUGUAUAAAUUACAUAAACAAACGACAACUACUGUACAUCAGAUUCCGUGGUAUGAUUGCCAAUGAGACAACUGUCCACAAGAGACCAAAUGACACAGAAAUUAACAACUGUAGGUCAUUGUGUGGCCAUCAACAAUUAAAGUCCAUACCGCAUAGUCAGCUAUAAAAAAUUCAGAAAUGACAAAUGUAAACCAAUUCAAACACUAAAACUAACAGCCUAAUACAUAUAUACAUAAAAUGAAUGAAAAACAAAUUUGUAACAUAUCAACUUACAACAACCACUGAAUUACAGUCCUACAGACAGGCACUUACAUACAUGUUAGCAGGAUCCCAAACCUCCCCCUAACCUGAGACAGUGGUAUAACAGUAGAACAUAAAAACAAACUAAAAAUCAGUUGAAAAAGGCUAAACUCAUCAGAUGUAUACAAAUAGAAAUACAUUGAAGAAAAAGCACAGAGUGGAUGUGACUGGGUACUUGUAUAUAUCCCAACAACAAAAAGAUACAGAUCUGAGAGCACUCACAGUUACUGACAGCUAGUUUAAAGCCACUAGCUAACAACUUAUAAAAAAAUCAUGCAUUCUAUAAAUAAUUAUAACCUACUUGCUAUAUUUAAUUUUUCAGUGAGGAAUGUUUGAUAACAGUUCACAACACUAGUGUUCAGCCUGUUGAGAGAGUUGAGGUCAAACUAAGGUGUAAAUCUGAAGAGAA
rnacentral:lncRNA from 1 species